AGUGAACGCUGGCGGUAGGCCUAACACAUGCAAGUCGAACGGCAGCACAGUAAGAGCUUGCUCUUACGGGUGGCGAGUGGCGGACGGGUGAGGAAUACAUCGGAAUCUACUUUUUCGUGGGGGAUAACGUAGGGAAACUUACGCUAAUACCGCAUACGACCUACGGGUGAAAGCAGGGGAUCUUCGGACCUUGCGCGAUUGAAUGAGCCGAUGGCGGAUUAGCUAGUUGGCGGGGUAAAGGCCCACCAAGGCGACGAUCCGUAGCUGGUCUGAGAGGAUGAUCAGCCACACUGGAACUGAGACACGGUCCAGACUCCUACGGGAGGCAGCAGUGGGGAAUUUUGGACAAUGGGCGCAAGCCUGAUCCAGCCAUACCGCGUGGGUGAAGAAGGCCUUCGGGUUGUAAAGCCCUUUUGUUGGGAAAGAAAAGCAGCAGGUUAAUACCCCGCUGUUCUGACGGUACCCAAAGAAUAAGCACCGGCUAACUUCGUG
rnacentral:rRNA from 1 species